UACGAAGGAGGCUAGCGUUGCUCGGAAUCACUGGGCGUAAAGCGCACGUAGGCGGAUUGUUAAGUCAGGGGUGAAAUCCUGGAGCUCAACUCCAGAACUGCCUUUGAUACUGGCGAUCUUGAGUCCGGGAGAGGUGAGUGGAACUGCGAGUGUAGAGGUGAAAUUCGUAGAUAUUCGCAAGAACACCAGUGGCGAAGGCGGCUCACUGGCCCGGUACUGACGCUGAGGUGCGAAAGCGUGGGGAGCAAACAGG
rnacentral:rRNA from 1 species